UCAACUGCUUGGGUUCUGUACUUCUCUUUAUAGCAUUGUGCUGUACUUUAGUCGGGUACGUUUCUCGAUAAUGUCCUUAAAAUUUAAUAUUAUAUUCUUUCACUAACCUAUCACACUUUUACAUCCUCUUCCUAUGUUUCUAAGCUGUCUUAGUUGAAAAUAUUAGAAGUCAGUUUUCUUCAAAAAGAAGGCAAUAGUCAAAACUUAUUGUUAAUUUUGAAACAUUUAUAGCAGGCAUCGUAUUACCAAGUGACUUGGAUGGUGUCCUUUUUUGACAUAAGUAAGAGAAUUAUAAGAAUGAAUAAUCAUGUUGUUGUGCUACUAGGUCAUUGCUAGAUCAUGUGUUUAUUACUCUGUUUGUUUUCGUUUUAUCUUAAUUUAGUUUUAAAUAUUCUCUUAUUUUAUUAUUUGUAUUCUUACAUAUUCUUACCCUAGGAGCUUUGCUGCAUAGCAUCUCCCUCUUAUAGUUACCUUGUUAGUUUGUGUUUAUCAAUAUAUAUUGGGUGUGGUUUGCAUAAGGUUGCAACCUUAAACAAUCCAAUUAAGGUGCACAUCUAAAUUUUAUUAAAUGUAAUUUUAAUAUAAAAAAUUCUUAGGAUGGCUUGAGAAUCUAUUUUUAUCUCUAAGUAUAAAAUUUUAAACUCUCAAAACGGUUCAAAUCAAGUAGAUCUAAACACAUGAAAAUCUUGAAAAUGGACAGUCCAGAUAAUGUGUUGCAAGAUACACUAUUUCACGGACUCGAAAUCUUUUUUUCUUUUCAUAUUCAUACAUCUCAUUGUCGAGGUGAUCAAUUAGAGGAUUUUCCAACGUCCAAACAACCUCUUAUGAUAGGUUGUUGAGGUGCAUCUUUAAUUAUACAUUUUAAGGUUGCAAAAUUAUAUAAACUUUUUCCAUAUAUAUUUGUGUCUAUUUGAAUACAUGUAAUGAUUGAGCAUUUUCGUCCCUAAGUUGUGGCACGUUAUCUUUUAAUAAAGUUAAUCCCCUCUCAAAGUGACAUGCCUCCCAUCUUAUUUCAUUUCUUUCUAUUUUAAAGCCUCCUUAAAAUAUGCUUUCUAAUAUUGUCGUGUGACUUCCAUUUUUCUCCUCCCACAUCUCAUGUUUUAAACAAAUUGCAAAAUUCCAACAUUGUAUCAGAGCAAGGUUUAUUUUUCUAACAAGAUUUAGGGAAUAAGGUUCCUAGAUUCCUCCCUAAAUCGUGAUAGUUUAUUCAUAGAAUGGAUGACUCAGAUUUAUUUCUCUCACCUCGUAGAUUAUCUAAAAUCCUAUUGGUCAUGAACUCAUGAUGAGUCAAUAUUUUGGAUGGGCCGCUAGGGCCUAUAUAAGGAGGGGAUCCUCUGUCAUCUUCUUCACCACAUUCAAGCCUCUCUCUCUCUCUCUCUCUCUCUCUCUCUCUCUCUCUCUCUCUCUCUCCUCUCUCUCUCUCUCUCUCUCUCUCUCUCUACGUACGUACGUACGUACGACGUACGUACGUACGUACGUACGUACGUACGUACGACGUACCGACGUACGAACGUAACGUAACGUAGUACGUANNNNNNNNNNNNNNNNNNNNAAUUUAGUUAGUAGGUCGGGCCGUACGGUACGGUACGUACUAAGUAAGGGAGGGUACGUCCUCGUCGUCUACUUCUUCUCCUACCACUACUACUACUCCUCUCUCUCUCUCUCUCUCUCUCUCUCUCUUCUCCCUCCAUGGCCCACUCUCUCUAUCUGUUUCUCUCUCUCUUCUCUAGUCACCAAAAGGUGGGACGCACCAUCUUAGCCUAUAGGGGUAGCACGCCACCCAAAAGAUUAUAGAGAGUGCAUGCCCAGCCCACAGUAAGACCAAGGGUGGUGCCUUUUCAAUGCAUGUUCUAAAGAGGUCUAAAAAGGGGUGUACAAACACCCAGUUCAUUCUCUCCUACUUCCCCCUUACUUGCACCUCGCAUUCCACCCUCUCUUCUCCUUUCCCCCCCUCCUUUACCCUUUAGGGGGCUGGGGGGAACUCUUCAAACACUCCCUAACGACACACCCCCUCCCACCCCUUUUUUUUCUUCCCUUUCCCCAGCACGCCCCAACAUCCCUCUCUCUAAUCACCCCUUCAUCCCUAGAUUUCUUCCCUUUCAUGGUUCUCUCCAUUACUUCCCCAACCACCUGGCCGGGCCUUCUGCCUUCUGCCUUCCCCGAUCACUUCCUCACCUCCCCAUAACACCAUCCUCCUUAACCAAGACUUCUUCAACCUGCCCCCCUUAGUCGCUAUCCCGGUUCCUCAACUCCUUGGUCUUGGCCCCUCUCCCACCUCGAUACUUGCUACCAACCCAAUGCUGACCCCACCUCCCACCCCUACCCCAAACCACUACCUCAUUCACUCAAUCCCCUUCUUCACUUGGCCCUGUUACUCUCCACCGAUGGACACGCCCUCCUAUCUCUCGUAGAGAAGCCAACUUCUCCUCUCAUCUUCGCUACAACUCCUCUGACUCUCCACUCCGCCCCAUCUUGGCAUCCUCUUCAUUGUCUUCUCCCCCGGUUGACUCUAACUUCAUCACCGGCAUAUGUACAAUGCUCAAUGCGACAUCCAACAAGUCCUCAAGGUGAUGGUGUUCCAGUAUGACGGCAAUGAAGCAGACAUCGACGCCUUCCUCUAAGUGGAUGCUAGAACCAGAUUCAAAGUAAUUAGAAAAGGCAAAAGGGAGCUUUCAAACCUCACCUUCGGCAUCUAUCACGGCUAGACCAAACCCUCUUCCUCACCUGCCUCUCUUACAAAUUCAACCACCUUGGCUCAAAAGCUCCCUAGGCGCUUCUCUAGACACAACAUCCCCCCCCCGCCACCUCCCCCCCCCUCCUCCUCCUCCUCCUUUUCAAUCCCUCAUGAAAAUACUUAUGUGGGGGAUUCGGGGUCUGGGUGGUCCUCAUAGAUGCAAUUUCUCAUGAGCCUUUCGCCAAAAACUUUCCCCUUUGGUUCUCACGCCCAUUGAAACCAAACAACCGCUCUCAUCCCUCCGCCAAAUCCAUUGGGUUUGGGGAUCUACGCCCUGUCAAUGGGCUUUGGAAGCCAAUGGGGUUUCAGAAGGGAUUUGAAUGAUCUGGCAUCCAACUACCCAUGACCUCUCUUUGUAACAAAUGGCGUCUUUCUUGGUAACUACCGCCCUUACUGGAAUUUCUGAUUUGUAUGCCUUGGAAAUUCACGGCUGUCUACUGUUCUAAUUUAGAUAGUUCCAAAGGCUUGCUCUGCGAAGAAUUAGAUGCCAGAUCCUCCCUACCCCCUCAAGGUGUUGCGUAUGAGGAGACUUUAAUGUCACUAGGUGGUCUUUCGAGAAACUUAAGCUCCAGAGUCUCCUGAAGUAUGCUUGACCUCUCGGAUUUUAUUUUCAGAAACAACGGAUUCAACAUUCCCUUCAAAGAGCAGUAUACACUUGGUCUAACAACUCCACCCCCUCCCUUUCAAAACUAGAUCGCUACCUUACUAGCCCUGAUUGGGAUGCUUCCUUCCUAGGCUCCCAUGCCCUUGCUCUUCUCAAACCCACCUCCAACCAUAAGCCCAUCCUUCUCAAUACUCAGCGAGCCUUGAGAGGGCCUAUACCCUUUCGCUUUGAAUAGCCUGGCUCAAAGAGCCAAACCUUCUCUCUGUAAUCCCUACUUGGUGGGAGUCUUUCCCUGAUCAGGCCCAAGGAUGGGCAGGUUUUUGACUCCAACACAAAUUGCAGCUCCUUAAAAAAUUCCCUGAAAGAUCGAAAUUGGCACCUCCCUGGCAACUUCCAGGUUCAAAAAGAAGCCCUGCUUGGAUCUAUGCACAACUGGGACCUCAUUGAGGAUACUCGGGCUUUAAACUCCAAUGAGAGUCUGGCUAGGUCUCAGCUCAAGCUUGACUACCAACUUAUCCUCCACAAGGAAGAAAAUUGUUGGUUUCAACGCUCUAGGGUAAAGUGGCUGAAAGAUUGGGACCUCGACACAAUCUUCUUCCACAAAAUAGCAAACUGUAGGAGACGCGAUAACACCAUUACCCAAAUCAAAGUAGGCGAUAUCGUUUUCGACUGACCCCUGCUAGUGGAAAAAGCCAUCAUUGACUUCUUUAAGCAGCUGUUUAAUGCUCCCUUAGGACCUAAACUGAGGAUGGCUGACCUUUCUUUCCAAUCCAAUCCCCCUAACCAAACCGUAUGGCUGGAACACCCUUUCUCUGAACAAGAUAUCCUCAAGGCUAUUAAAGACCUUGUACAUGAUCGAGCCCUAGGUUGGAUGGCUACCCAAUAGCCCUUUUUAAAAGCUUCUGGGAUUCUCUCUGUCCUGAUAUGCUCUCCUUCUUCAAUGAAUUCCACAAAAGAGUAGUCCACAAGUCCAUGAAUGCCACCUUCAUUGCCUUGGUCCCCAAAGUGGAAGGGGCCGAUGAACUCAAAGAUUUAAGACCUAUUAGCUUGAUAGAUAGCUUUUACAAUAUCCUCUCCAAGGUCCUUGCCUCUAGACUCAAAGAGGACUUUGUCUAGGUCAUCUCCCACCAUCAAGGGGCCUUCGUCAAGGAUCCCAGAUUUUCGACAGAGCCCAAGUUGCCCACGAAUGCACAUUCAAGAUUUCCUUCCAAAAUUCCUAGCUUGAUUAUUAAACUCGAUUGGGAAAAGGCCUACGACCAUGUCGAUUGGGCUAUCCUUGAUGAAACCCUCCUUAGGAUGGGCUUUGGGAACCGAUGGAAGACUUGGAUCCGCAACUAUAUCUCUUACGGCUCGCCCAAAGGCUACUUCCCCUCCUCCAGAGGCCUCAGACAAGGGGCCCCACUAUACUCAUUCCUGUUUGCCAUUGUUGCCGAAGUCUUAAGCAAAUCUGUUGCUAGGAUGUACCGACACGGCCUCUUAGAGGGCAUCAAUAUCAGCUGCCAAUGCCCAGAAAUUUCUUACCUGCAAUAUGCCAACGAUACCCACCUCUUUUGCGGAGCAAUUGACCAACAUGUCGACUCCUUCCUUCUCUUCUUAAAAUGCUUUGAAUUGGCCACGGGCAUUAGGGUGAACAUGGCCAAGUCCAAAAUGAUAGGAGUGUCCCUUGAGGCCCAAGCUAUCCAGGACUGGGUCGACAGGUGGGCUUGCAAUGUCAAUACUAUAUCAUCUACCUACCUGGGCUUACCCAAGUGGAAGGGGCCUAUGAACUCAAAGAUUUCAGACCUAUUAGCUUGAUAAAUAGCUCUUACAAUAUCCUCUCCAAGGUCCUUGCCUCUAGGCUCAGAGAGGACUUUGGUUGGGUCAUCUCCCCCCAUCAAGGGGACUUCGUCAAGGAUCCCAGAUUCAUCACGAAGCCCAAGUGGCCCACGAAUGCACAUUCAAGAUUUCUCUCCAAAAUUCCUGGCUUGAUUAUUAAACUUGAUUGGGGAAGGCCUACGACCAUGUUGAUUGGGCUAUCCUUGAUGAAACCCUCCUUAGGAUGGGCUUCGGGAACCAAUGGAGGACUUGGAUCGUCAACUGUAUCUCUUCCAGCUCGCCCCAAAUGCUACUUUCCCUCUUGAGACCUUAGACAAGGGGACCCACUAUACCCAUUCCUGUUUUCCACUGUUGCCGAAGUCUUCAGUAAAUCUGUUGCUAGGAUGUACCAACACAGCCUCCUAGAGGGCUUCAAUAUCAGCAGCCAAGGCCCAGAAAUUUCUCACCUGCAAUAUGCCAACGAUACCUGCCUCUUUUGCGGAGCAAUUGACCAACAGGCCGACUCCUUCCUUCUCUUCUUAAAAUUCUUUGAAUUGGCCACGGGCUUUAAGGUGAACAUUGCCAAGUCCAAAAUGAUAGGAGUGUCCCUUGAGGCCCAAACAAUCCAGGACUUUGCCAAUAGGUGGGGUUGUAAAGUCAGUACUAUAUCAUCCACCCCCUCUGCAUUGGUAACCCAAACAAGACAAUGGGGCCACAUUAUCUACAAAUUCGGCCUCAUGUUAGCCAGUUGGAAGGAAGAUUGUUGGCGGGUAGAAUUACCCUCAUCAAAGCAACUCUGUUCAAUGUUCCUUUUUUCAGGUGUCGCUCUUUCACAUGCCUGCAUCAGUGGUCUCCUAGCUCGAGCAACUUAAGAGAAACUUUUUCUGGUCAGGCAAGGGACACCAAAAAAUACCAUCUCAUCUCUUGGGACAACCGUUUUUUUUUUAAAUGUUAACUGUUAUAUAUAGUAAAGGGUCCCAACAGGGUAAGAUGGUAGAACCUAGCCACUGGAGGCUAGCAGAGGUACAAGGGGGAGAGAGGGAGAGGGGGGAGGAGAGUAGGCAGAAUUAAAAGGCCAUCUUUUAGAUAUUACAUUGAUGACAAGGCAACCAACAAAAAGAAACCCAUCCAAAAAUAUAAGUAGUCCUUCACUAAGGGAGCCAAUCUAAAUCAAAGAACUCCUUACUGGUUGCUACUGCUUUGGCCAGGGUGUCUGCAUCGUGUUUUGCUUCCCUCUAAGUGUGCUUCCAGAAGACCCGAAUUUCCUUGCAAAGGAGAGAUAUUUUGCCUCUUGGGACAACCAUUUGCAAGCGAAAACCCCUCAGUGGCCUGGGGAUUUGCAAUCUUUAAAGGAAUAAUUUGGCUCGCCUAGGUAAGCGGUGGUGGCAUCUAGCCACCCAAGAAUGCCACCUGUGGCAAGAAGUCCUCCGCUGCAAAUAUCGCGUCGACCCCUCUAGUUAGCUGCCCCCUUGCAAAUGUCAACAGUUCAUCCUUAGGAGCUUGGAGAUCCCUGCUUCGUGCGUAUAUUCUUUUCAAAGGCAACAUUCGUUACCAGCCAAGGGCAGGUAAUAGAGUGAAAUUCUUGUCUGAUCUUUGUUAGGUCACACUCCAAUCAUAGAUAGUUUCCUAAUCUCUUCAUCUUGGCAAGGAAUGCUUAUGUGGCUGAUCUUUUUGAUUUGUUGGGUCCUUAAAGAGUCUGGAAUCCCAAUUUUUGGUCCCUCAUAGACCCACGAGCUGGAUGACUUCCUCAAGCUCUCCUCCAUCAUCCAUUCCGUCUACUUCCCCUCCCAUGGUAAGGACCAAUUAAUUUGGUCCCUAGCAGCAUCGGGUAGCUUCUCUGUCUCCUCCUUUUACCACAAACUCCAAUUGCCCCCGACCCUUCCCGCUUCACCUCCUUCUUUAGCUGCUAAGGCUUGGCUCUCUUUCAUUCCCCAAAAAAUCCAAGAAGUAGGGAGUCAACUACGCCUCAAUGGAAAGGCAAGGUGAAGGACGACCUCUCUACGAACGCCGUUGCAGGACUGAAGAAGGUCUUCUUCCCUUCUUCGAAAAUCAGUCCUCCCUGUGAAGAACCUUUGACAUGCCAACAGCAAGGCAUGGAUGCUAUGGCUCAAAAUAGCCCAGCUAUGGAGGCUUUCGUUGGCUUUAUAAGGGCUUUUCUUUCUCCAGCACAGAAUGCACCUGAGAGGCAGCAAGGAACCCUCCAUGAGCAAGACGCUAAACGCGGAGGAUAUAGGGCCAAAUAGCCCCCAAGUGGAGUCUAUACAUUCUCACGUUGAUCCCAGAAGGAUUAGAUGGCUGAUUGAGUUUUCGGAUCAAGAAAGAUCUGAGAUGCAGAACGAAUGGCAAAGCCUGCGAAGUCAAGAUGUUUAACUAGUCCUAUUUGAAAGAGCUCUAACCGUGGACCAACCUCAAAGAAGGGGAUUGCAUAUCCCCAACCAAUGCGUGUGCACGGUGGAAGAAGAGACCAAUGCCCAGCCCUUCAUCCAUUGCAUCUUAGCUAGGGAACUGUGGGGGAAUCUACUCCCAACUCCUCAAUUGGUCUUGGGAGACGCCAAGGUCAGUCCCACACAUACACAGUUGUAUCCAACCCCUACCUUGGCCCAGAUCGGGCAUCUUACUCUGGAAGGCCUCUGUGGCAGCCACACUGUGGGUGAUAUGGACAGAAAGAAACCACAAGAUGUUCUGAAGGUAAAGGGCCUCCCCAGAGGUCUUGAAAGACCGCAUCCAAAUGAUGGUUAUCUUCUGGGUCAAGAACCACAGUUGCUUCAAGGACUUCUCCCACAUGGACUUCUACCAGAAUUGGCAUGCCUUACUUUUCCCAAGGCCCUCCAGUGUUCCUUGAGCCUCUAGAGACCCCCUAAACCAGGCCAAUCAAAACUAAACUUCGACGGUUGCUCUCUUGGCAGCCCUGGUCUAGCAGGUAUAGGGGGCAUUGUCAGGAAUAAUGAAGGCCACACUCUUUUCUCCUCCAAAUUCAUCGGCCAUGCUGACUGCCACAAGCCGGAAGCGCUCGCCCUCGUCAAAGGUCUCAAGAACUUCAAUCCCCUAUGUAGUUUGGUUUUGAUAGUUGAGGAGGCCUUAAAAAAUGUUAUCUCCUAGGCUUUGGGUUCUGCUACCUGCCCUUGGCGACUAGCACACAUUUUGAUGAAAUUUUUUAUAUUUGCAAGCCUAUGCUCAUCUCAUGGACACAUAUUUGGCGCGAGCUCAAUUUCAAGGCCGACGCACUCGGUAAGGAAGGAGCUAUUCAGGUGAACACAUUUGGAACCUUUUGACAUCUUUUUUGAGCUUUUGGUUCCUCCUUUCCUUUUUCCUUUUUUUUAUCUUGAUAUAAUGGAUGUAUAGCUUUUUGACUCAGGCCACCCUCUUGGUGGUUUUUUUUAUAAAGGGUGGCCUAUUUUUUGCAACUUGUACAUUUUCUAUACUAGACACAAACGCUAACAGCUUCAAAAAAAGGGGUCUAGCACCCCUAAUCUUGUUUAGAGAAUUCAGCAGGGCCCCAAUAGGAUUAGAGUUCGUCAUCCGUCAAGUAAUCGGGUGUGAGGUGUACUAAGUCCUAAAGGUGUGAUCCUAGGCAAGUUCAAGAAAGUCUUUCCAGCUGUUUGAGUUUAUUUUUCGGUCAUUAUUUGUUUGCUUAUUUGAAUUUCCAGGAACAUUAUUUGUACAAAAUUUAUCGUCAAAGGUUCUUUUUCAAUCCUGGAAUGAGUUUAUUCUAUUGGGAGUAAAUGGACAGGUCCAAUGUUGUAUUUAGGACCUUUAUUUCUUGUUUACAGCAAUUUUAUGUGGCACUUGUAAGUGGAAUUCUGAUACAUUAAUAGAAGAAAAGGAGAAACUUUUAAUUUUACUCCCUUGAAUUCUACUACAUAACCACUUGUUUCACUCACUGUAGACCAGCUACAAAAAGGGGGCUUGCUAAUCCCCAACAGAUGCGACACGUGUAAAUCAGUAAAAAAACCAAUAGACACCUCUUCCUUCAUUGGGAUAUGGGUGACUCCCUAAUCUGUCCCCUACCUCUCCCCUCCUUGGUUGAGGUCCGGUAUCUUCCUUGGUAAGUAGUGGCGGCGCUUCACAACAUAAGAGAACCACCUGUAGCAAAAGGUCAUCUGUCACAAAUAUCACUGUGAGGAAUCAGCCUGGCUGUCUAGGGAGACUGUCAAUGGUCAGUCCUCAGGGGCAUGGCGUAGUCUGCUGACCAGAUACCAGCUCUUCAGAGGAAACAUUCGGUUCAGGGCAAGGGAAGGCAAUAGAGUUAGAUCCUGGACCAAGCUUUGGAUAGGGAACUCCAUCCUACAAAAUUGGUUCCGUAACUUGUUCCUUUUGGCACUGGACCAAUGGGCUACCUUGGCUGAUCAGUUCGAAGACUUGGGCUGGCAAUGCAAGGAUUUGGACUCAAAAUUUUAGAUGGCCCCUCUGUUUUUUAUUCCAUAAGAAAAGAAAAAAGAAGAAAAACAAAAUUAGAAAACCCCUUUCAUAUUGCGAACUAUCGGACUUCGCGGUCCAUUCCUCCCUCUUGCAAACUACCUUUCUUCAUGCUACUGAAGACAACAAGUUGAUUUGGACGCCAGCCACGAGUAAAUUAUGGUGUCGUCCUUUUACCAGAAGCUGUGACAGCCACCAACCUUCCCCUCUCUCGCUUCCAUCGCUAGCAGAGCCUGGUUCAAUUCUAUUCCUCCUAAGAUCCAAGUCUUCAGCUGGAUAGCCAUAUCCGAGAUGUCCCUCACUAUAGACCAGCUACAAAAAUGGGGCUUGAUAAUUCCCAACAGAUGCGCCAUGUGUAAAUCAGUAGAAGAAGCCAAUGGGCACCGCUUCCUCCAUUGUGACAUGGCAUAGGCCUUGGUGAGGUAGUUGUUGCAGCUCUUCACAUGGAUGUGGUGAGUUCCAUAUCUGUCCCCCACCUCUCCCUUGCCCUCAAAUCCCCUCCUACAUUGAGGUUGGCUAUCUUCCUUGGAAAGCAGCACUUGUGACCCACUCUAUCGGUGAUUUGAACUGAAAAGAAUAAUAGGAUUUUCAGGACCUACCACUUGCAACUUAAAAGACCGGAUCAAAGCGUUGGUUAUUUUUUGGGCAGCGAACAACAAACUCUUCUUUCUUCAUAAAAAAAGAGACCAACAAACUCAUUUAGGUGCCACACCUACACAGAUUUCUGCCAAGAUUGGGAGGCAAGGCCCAUUGCAGGUUCCCCGAGCGUCACCUUGGAGACCAUUGGAGCAAGGCCAAGUUAAACUUUACUUUGAUGGUUGCUCCCUCAGCAACCCCAGCCCAACUGGUAUGGGGGGAUCUUCAGAGACAAAGAUGGAACUACCCUCUCUUCCUUCUCGAAAUCCUUCGGUCAUGCGGAGUGGAGGCUCUCGCCCUCCUUGAGGGCAUCAAAUGUUCCAAUCCAGAUUGGAGCCCUGUUUUGGUCAUAAAAGGUGAUUCCAAGAAUGUCAAAUCUCAUGGGCUUCAAGAGCUUCAUCAUAAUUAUGGAGACUUGAUCACAUUUUUUACGGGAUUUUCAAUCUUUGCUGGCCCAUGCGCAUCUUCUGGCAACUAAAGUGGUGUGAGACAAAUUCCAAAGCUGAUAGCCUCGCGGAUAAUGGAGCAAUUACAGGAACCAUGCCCUAGACCUUUUUGGUAGCUUUUUCCCCUAAGGAUUUCCAUUCUAUUUUGGUUUUUAUGUUGGCUGCACCCCAUUUUGUUGGAUGUUUAUUUUUAUUUUUUUUGACAGCUCGUUGAGGUUUGUACAAAGAACCGAGAUUGUGGCUACCACACUUCAAAAAAAAAAAGGACCUGCUCUGUGGGUGAUUGUGGUUUGUACAAAGAACCGAGAUUGUGGCUACCACAUCUUCAAACAAAAAAAAAGACCUGCUCUGUGGCUGAUUCUGUGAGUAAUUGGCAGGCCAUCCUGUCUUCUAAAACAGACUCAACAACAAGAUCUAGCCUUCAGAGACCACCCGACCAUGGGUCCAUCAAACUCGACAUAGAUGGGUGCUGCCUUGGCAACCCUGCCCAGUUGGUUUGGAGGCAUUUUUAGGGAUGAUCAAGGUCAUUCUUUGCUGCCAUUCCAACGGCACAUAGGUAUUGUUGACUCAACAAUGGCUGAUAUUAUACCCAAAGGGCAAAAGCAGUUCGAUCCAAUCUGGGGAAAUAACCUUCAGGUGGCACGGGACUAAAAAAGCGAUGUUAUGGGCUUUAUAGUCUGCUCAGUGUCUGUGGCGUCUCAAACCUUUGUUUGGUAACAUUUUUUAUCAUGGCAGGUCUCUCUCUGAGUCACCUUCAAGGACAUCUGGCUUGAGACCAAUGCUAUUGUUGAUUCUCUUGCAAAGUAGCCGCUGCAGGUAGCAUUUUAGUGAACAGCUAGAAAACUUUAUCAUCGCUACUUCUGGGGCUAAUCACCCUUCGUUUUUUAUGUACUUUGUUUGGUUUCUGUAGCACUGAGCUUGCGGGUUACUUGAUUUUGUUCAAUGUACAAUUUCAGCAUAUGCAAUACGAAUAAUCAACCUCAAUAGAAAAAUGAAAAAAAAGUGAUGUGCAAGCUUCCAUGGGCAAGGUCCUUCUCUCCUACCCCCGUGAUGGCAGUCGUGGGGUCCCCUUCAACUACAAUGUGGGCUGAAAAGUUCUGGAAGUGGACUCUUAAAACUGGUAAGAAGAGCAGCCACAAGCCUUGUCGGUAUCCCCAAUACUCGAUGGGGCCCUUCAAGGCAACUAAGGUACCCUGUGGUCCCUACUCAUGCCUCUCACUCUAGAGUAUUAGAGCUCCCAUCAAAAUGGAGCUUCGGAGCUCCUUCAGGAGGGCACUUUCUGAGUCAUAAAUGGGACCCUCUGGAAUAAAAAUAGAGGUCACCACCUUUCACUUUUAAUUACCAGUUCCAUGGCCGUAUAUCCAAAGAACUCCUCUCAGACAACUAUGCAAACAAUGAUGGAGUCUAUUACCUUUUCGCCUGCAUUCUUAGAUCUUGAGUAUUUACGUUUUGAAGACACUUGUUUCUCUCAACUCAAAUCAGAUGCCCCAGGAAUGGCUAAGGGGCAAAGUAGCCUAAGAGCCAAUAAUGCCAACUAUCAAGAGCCUCUGUAACAGCUUUGAGGUGUGACCCAAGAACAUUGAAUAGGUGAAGAAAGUAGGCCCAAAUGGAGGAGGCAAAAGAAUACUGAAUAAAGGAGAUGGUUGAAGGUCUCUGCAGUGUUGUGGCACAUGAGACAGAUAUUAGGACCUGCAUCGCUCUCUGUUGCAGGUGGUCACGGCCUUGCCUUUUCUCACUAAACGUACAAAUCGUGCGACAGGCUGACUCUCAGUGAAUUGUGGCAAGGGGUUUGUCAGCAACCAUCUGAACAAGAGGACUCACUGGGGGGAAGGAGGUUUGCGUCCUAGAUUCUAGAUCAUAGAGAGGUAGUCAGACUGCCGAGUGGGAGGAAUUUGGCAAAAGGCUUCACUGAGAAUCUAUUGCUAGUGUCGUAGCACAUAACAAGUCUGUCAGCCCAACCUGGGUAUAUAGGUCGACUUGGGCAAACGUGGUAACUGAGUUCGUAAGUUUCAUCAUCUAUUAGGUCUCUAUGCAAAUCAGAGCACCAGCUAACCUGGUGCCCUUCUUUUGCAUAAGAUUUAAAGGCUUAGGCUUCUUGAUUGCUGGAUGCAUUUGCUAGUCUUUGAAAGCGAUCUUGAAGCACCAUGUCCCUAAGUCAUACAUCUGACCAGUAAAUUGUUGUGGCUCCACAUUCUCUUAUUCUUGUAUCCAAUGUUUCAAAAAAUGGUUGUAUUUUGGCCCUUUGGUUCCCUUUUGUAUUUCUCUUAUCCAUCUAUACAAUGUCAACAGUAUAAAAAAAAAUGUUUAAAUGGUGACUUUGGCUCGGACUUGCCUGACUCAUGUGGUCCCAGAUGGCAAACUCUAAAAUAGGUGCAACUCUGUAGUCUUUGGUUUUUUUCACAUAUUUUUCUUAUGAGAUUCAGCCAAGUCAGGCAGUGCACUCGUUGAAGUCGGCCUCUAACUACUCCCCACCCUUUACCGGUUGGCUAGAAACCAGUUAUCCACCAUUGCUAAGAAUUUUGAACCCUGCCCCCGGGGAUGGGUUUGGACCCCUACCUUCAGAAGGCCCCUUAAUGAUUCCGAGUUACUAGGUUUUAUUGAUUUGCAGACCCUGCUCCACAACUUUUUCCUCCCUUCUUCGGGUUUCGAUAAGGUGGUCUAGACCCUUUCCCCUUCAGGAGUGUUUUCAGUUGCCUCUUUUUACGAGGCUCUCCUCUCCCCUCCCCCCCCCUCUCCUGCCCACGUUGCUCUAAGGCCUGGAUUCUCUGGCUCCCCCUAAAAUCACCUUCUUUAUUUGGGUGACCACCCAUGAGAGGGACUUAACCAUGGACCAUCUUCAAAGAAGGGGCCUACAACUACCCAACAGGUUCACCAUGUGUAAGAAAUAAGCUGAAACCAACGCUCAUCUCUUUCUACAUUGUGACGGAGCGUCUUUCCUCUGGAGCUCUAUUGUCCAACUUUUUGGCUGGGUUUGGGUCACCCCUCAGACUGUUCCACAACUCUUCUCUUCUUACCUUUCUCCCCCGUGGGCUAGAUCAGGUAUUAUUCUUUGGAAAACUUCUGUGGCAGCCUUACUCUGGACUCUGUGAUUGGAAAGGAACCAGAGAAUCUUUAGGGGCGAAUUUUCUAAAUCCUGUCAUGCUGAUGGAAAAGGUGAGAUCUUUGGUCAUCUUUUGGGCAGCCAACUCUAAACCUUUUAAGUGUUUCUCAGUAGUGGACUUCCAUCAAAAUUGGAAGGCUAUGCUUCAGUUAAGGCCUACCCGAGUUCCUAGAUCAGCCUCAUGGUUACCUCCCUCUCCGGGGUGCAUUAAGCUUAAUUUCAAUGGUUGCUCCCUGGGCAAUCCUGGACCCUCUGGUGUAGGUGGCAUCUAUCGCAACCAUGCCGGUUGCACCCUCCUCUCCUUUGAGCAGUCCAUCGGUAGCUCAGACUCCACCGAGGCAGAGGCAAUGGCCCUCCUUCAUGGCCUUCGACACUUCAACAGGGCCUAAGGAGACUCUCUGGUGAUCGAAGGAGAUUCUGCCAAUGUUAUAGCUUGGGCUUCUAUCCUAGCCCAUGGAGGCUAGAGUCCGUGUUUGACGAAAUCCAACAUAGGUGCUCCCUCUUGCAAAUCGCUUGGAGGCAUACAUGGAGAGAGGCUAACUCCAUCGCUGACUCUCUAGCCAAAUCUGGAGCUCUGGGCUCAAAAUCUGUGGACCGUCCACCGUAGAUCACCUACUUUGGUUUUGAUCCUAAUAUAGCUUUGUACUUCUGUUGCCUGUUAUGGGCUUUAUUUCUGUUGCCCUGUAAAGGGUAUUACUGUCCUUCACCAUUCCUUGUGGGAGGGCAACCUUUGUAUUCUCUUUUUUCCUCAAUACAAGUAAAUAUUCUCACAAAAAAUAAAGUCGGUCUCUGACUCACUCUCGGGAUCCUGGCGAGUCUGAACUUUUAAACACUGCUUGUACCACACCAAAAAGAACAUCUGACACCAUUAAUGGCGUACCUCAAGUCCAAGGUCUAGUGUCGCCAUGUUAACUUGGAUUUUGAAAAUUAAAUUUGUUGAAUAUUUAUUUUAAUGACAUUAAGUGGUAAUUUCUUCAAGCUUAUAUUAUGUUACUGAUGUUUAUUAACCUUUAAGUAGGAAUUGGGCUUGGGCUCAAGUAGUUUGCAGUUGACUUUACCGAGGCUAUAUUUCAAGUUUGAUUCCUACAACUGACCAACUUGAAAGAAACCCUUAAAAGUGCUGAAACUAUAUGAUACUAAGCUUCUCUUAUGGUGCUAAAAAUUAUAACAUAAUUAACUUUAGAUGGUAAUUUCUUCAAGUUACAGGUUAUUAGAGUCACUGUAAUCCUAUAUUUAUUGCAAGCACAUCUUUUUACGUGGAGAUCUUAAUCUCGUUGCCUGUGAGGAAUUUGGAAGGAGAGAAACAAGAAAGAUUGAUGAAUGAUUUUUCACUUCAAUGCAUGUACUCUUUAGAUUAGGAUUGAAAUUUGUGAUUGUAUGCUGUGGUAGUUAUGCUCUUCUCUAUAUUGAUCGUCUCUCAUGGUUGCAUUUGAUAUUUGUAGUUCCCCCAUUCUUGUUUUUGCAGAUGAAACUUGUCCCGAACGUGUUGAUCCCUUCUCUUCCAGCGACCUCUCUCUCUCUCUCUCUCGCACACGAGCUACUAGCGAUAUUUGCUUGGAGCUUUGGGGAAUCCUAGGGACUGGACUAGAAAAAAUCCGAGGGCUUUAUUUGUGUGGACUGCUGAACAUAUUUAAUUCUUUAUUUUGAAUGUAACAUGUUUAGGGAUUGUAUGACCAUAUAUCUUUGCUACAAGGUCAUAACUAUUCUUAGUCAUUAGAUGUCAAAUUGGAUGGCUUGGGGUAUGUUACGAAGUUCAAGAAAUGUUUUUUUGAACUUUUAGUCUUACACACCCGAUUUGAAAUUUGAAGGACA
rnacentral:lncRNA from 1 species